CAGCGCCACGAGUGGGGACCACAUUUAGUGGGCCUAAAGCGUUCGUAGCCGGUUUAAUAAAUUUUCUGUGAAAUCAUUGGGCUUAACUUAAUGACGUGCAGAAAAGACUGUUAAACUUGGAACCGGGAGGAGUCAGAGGUAUUUUGGGGGGCGCGGUAAAAUGCGAUAAUCCUCAGAGGACCACCUGUGGCGAAGGCGUCUGACUAGAACGGGUUCGACGGUGAGGAACGAAACCCAGGGGAGCGAGCCGGAUUAGAUACCCGAGUAGUCC
rnacentral:rRNA from 1 species